GAGGGUAUAGCUCAGAGGUAGAGCAUGUGCUUAGCAUGCUCAAGGUCCUAGGUUCGAUCCCUAGUACCACUG
rnacentral:tRNA from 1 species